rnacentral:sRNA from 1 species
UCAAUGUGUAUUAUCUUCAUUUCUGCUAAUAAAAAGGAAAUGAGAGCACAGAGCAAUAAUACUCACUAAAUACAAUCAAAAAGAAGAAAUAAUUAAUUAAAAUAUAUUUAAAUAUACAAAAUAAAGCAGAUGAAGAUCUAGAGAAGCUCCACUGCUGAGAGAAGCCUUUUUGAUGGUCUGUCAAGAAUUAGAUUGGAUCCUACAAUUUUACCUGUAGUUGCAAGAAGUCUUAUUGAACAUCCUUUCGAAUUCCAUCUCCCGUCUUUAAAUUCAACAAUGAUGGUGCGAAAAUUUCUGAGACAUUUCAGCUGUUACCUUCAUACCACUGCUUGAAGUAAACUAAACUUCCAAAGAUUAUACCAAUAAUAUGUUGAACUGCAACAACUUGGAGAUCGAGUUUACUUUGAUGCACUCCCUUGGAGAUCAGGUUUACUUUGAUAACGGUAUAGAGAAUCUUUGUCUAAAAGCAUUUAAGUUUGGACUAGGUUCUGUACGCCCUGUUUCUUUGCUGAAGGUAAUAUAAUGUUUAGAGCAUAGGCUGUGAAACCUAUAUUGUCGGAGAAAAGAAAACUAGCUUGAGACACAAAAGUCAAAAGUCCAAGAUUAUACGAAAUCCAAAGGUUACUUGAGCACACAAUGUCUAUCUUCAAAAGGGAUGGCAUUUUAAGCCACAAGAUCGACUUCAUCUCGAUCAGGGGAAACUACGUCUAAUCUCAUCAUGCUCCUAUAUUGAUCAGGAACAGGAGCUCCACCAUGCACACAGAGUUCCACCACAGCUGGAGCCUUCCCAUAAUAUCUCUUAAGAUUGUUAUUCAGAGCAGGUCCAUUCAGAUCCUCCACAUGCCAGACAUAAUUUGGAUCUAUAAGAUCAUCUAAUGUAGCCUCUUGCCAUGCAUGUAAACCAUUUCGAGACUGAUGCUUUGAAGCCUUGCACAUUCUCAACUUAUGUCCUUUAGGACCAACCUGGAUCUCAGGACAAUAGCCACAAGUAUUCACAGCAUACUUCUCCAUGAUCUUCUUUGUACCUGAUGACAUCUCAAUCCAUGAGUUCAGUAUAUGAUUACUUAAAUCCCUUAACUUGUUCCUUUCUUCAUCAUUUAGCUGAUCCAGAUGGCUUAUAUUGUUCUCCAAUAAAUUCUGGACCUUCUCUAUAGGUUGGUUCAGCAAAGUAGAUGAAUUCACAGAAGGUUUGUCAUUUCCAAAAGAAUAUUUUCCUUCAUUUUCAUCCUCUUUAACAACUGAUUCAAAAUCUACAAUUCUUCCUUCAAUACAAUAUACAGGCUUUGUUCUUCUUUUAGUAGGAUAUUUUUCAAGGUCUAGCCCUGCUUGUAUACAGAGUUCAACAAUGGCAGGUAUACGAGGAAUGCUGGACCUUUCAUCAUGCCCAACUCUUGGCCUACCAACACGGUCAUAGAGAUGAAAGCACUUAGGGAAGCUAACCACAUCUCGAACACCUCCCCUUGUCCAGACAUGUGUCGCAUGCCGGGAAACACUAUCUGGUCCAGUACAUGUUCGAAUUUCA